rnacentral:rRNA from 1 species
GACGAACGCUGGCGGCGUGCUUAACACAUGCAAGUCGAACGGUGAAGGGGUCUGCUCUUGUUGGCCCUGGAUGAGUGGCGAACGGGUGAGUAACACGUGAGUAACCUUCCCCCUUCUUCUGGAUAAACGCAUGAAAGCGUGGCUAAUUCGGGAUAUUCUGGGUCUGUUGCAUGAUGGGUCUGGGAAAGCUUGCGGCGAUGGGUGUAGUUGGUGGGGGAUGGGCUCGCGGCCGAUCAGCUUGGGGGUGGGGGGAUGGCCUACCAAGGGGGGGACGGGGAGCCGAGCGGAGAGGCGGGACGACUGAAAGGGGACAGAGGCCCAGACCACACUGGUAGGCGACGGAGCGGAGUGUUAGAGUGCACAAGGGGGGCAAGCCUGAUGCAGCGACGCCGGGUGAGGGAGGGAGGGCUUCGGGGUGUAAACCUCUUUGGCCAGUGAAGCAGGCCUGCUACUUGUGGGUGGGUUGACGGUAGCUGGAGAAGAAGCGCCGGCUAACUACGUG